GCUGGCUGCUGUGAUGUGGUCCUGUCGCGGGCAAGGCUCCGGGAGUGAGUGAGCCUGCAGGACGCCGCUUCAGAAUUGAUAUGAAGUUGCUGUUUACUAACUCGGCUCUGCCCAGACUUUUCCAGACCUUUUGGGAGAAAUGGCAGUUUUCACUGCAAAGCGUUCUCACAGCUAAAGUCCUGAGGGGUGUGCGGUGCGGGGCCCGUGUGGGCAGUGACUGAGCACAGAAGGCGUCCACACCCUCCCACGGCUGGGGUCCCUGCCUCCAGCCGGGUGGGGAGGUCGGGGGCUUUCGGGUGGUCACAUCACGUCUGCACCAAGGUCGCAUCACCGAGACUGUGCACAGGGACCUGGACGCACCCACGCACAUGCUCCUCCAUGGAUUGAAGAGGGAAGGUUCCCGGGAACAGGUGGGAGCAUCC